rnacentral:rRNA from 1 species
CUUUACGGCAUACCACCCUGAACACGCCCGAUCUCGUCCGAUCUUCGGAAGCUAAGCAGGGUCGGGCCUGGUUAGUACUUUGGAUGGGAGACCGCCUGGGAAUACCAGGUGCUGUAAGCU